GAUUAGGGUUUGAUUAUGGCUCAGGAUGAACGCUAGCGGCAGGCUUAACACAUGCAAGUCGAGGGGUAACAGGGAUUGCUUGCAAUCCGCUGACGACCGGCGCACGGGUGCGUAACGCGUAUGCAACCUACCUUCUACAGGGGGAUAGUCAAUAGAAAUGUUGAAUAAUACCCCAUACGAUCUUUGAAUAGCAUUAUUUAAAGAAGAAAGCUCCGGCGGUAGAAGAUGGGCAUGCGUCCUAUUAGUUAGUUGGUAAGGUAACGGCUUACCAAGACUUCGAUAGGUAGGGGUCCUGAGAGGGAGACCCCCCACACUGGUACUGAGACACGGACCAGACUCCUACGGGAGGCAGCAGUGAGGAAUAUUGGACAAUGGAGGCAACUCUGAUCCAGCCAUGCCGCGUGCAGGAAGACUGCCCUAUGGGUUGUAAACUGCUUUUAUACAGGAAGAAAUGUACCUACGUGUAGGUAUUUGACGGUACUGUACGAAUAAGGAUCGGCUAACUCCGUGC
rnacentral:rRNA from 1 species